rnacentral:rRNA from 1 species
ACAUUCCUACAACAUAGCGUUAAUACAUCGGAUCCCAUUAAAAAUUCCCAGUUAAGCGUGCUCGUGCUAGAGUAGUACUGGGAUGGGUGACCACAUGGGAAGUCCUAGUAUUUC